rnacentral:rRNA from 1 species
UCGAGGAUCCUUCGCAAUGGGGGAAACCCUGACGAUGCGACGCUGCGUGGAGGAUGAAGGCCCUCGGGUUGUAAACUCCUGUCAUGAGGGAAGAGGAGAGCGCCACCAACACUGGCGCGAUUUGACGGUACCUCAAGAGGAAGCCACGGCUAACUCUGUGCCAGCAGCCGCGGUAAUACAGAGGUGGCGAGCGUUGUUCGGAUUUACUGGGCGGAAAGGGCGCGUAGGCGGCGGGGUGUGUCGGGUGUGAAAUCCCAGGGCCCAACCCGGGAAGUGCGCCCGAAACUG